rnacentral:rRNA from 1 species
AUUGAACGCUGGCGGCAUGCCUUACACAUGCAAGUCGAACGGCAGCACGGGUGCUUGCACCUGGUGGCGAGUGGCGAACGGGUGAGUAAUACAUCGGAACAUGUCCUGUAGUGGGGGAUAGCCCGGCGAAAGCCGGAUUAAUACCGCAUACGAUCUACGGAUGAAAGCGGGGGACCUUCGGGCCUCGCGCUAUAGGGUUGGCCGAUGGCUGAUUAGCUAGUUGGUGGGGUAAAGGCCUACCAAGGCGACGAUCAGUAGCUGGUCUGAGAGGACGACCAGCCACACUGGGACUGAGACAUGGCCCAGACUCCUGCGGGAGGCAGCAGUGGGGAAUUUUGGACAAUGGGCGAAAGCCUGAUCCAGCAAUGCCGCGUGUGUGAAGAAGGCCUUCGGGUUGUAAAGCACUUUUGUCCGGAAAGAAAUCCUUGGCUCUAAUACAGUCGGGGGAUGACGGUACCGGAAGAAUAAGCACCGGCUAACUACGUG